AUACGGAGGAUCCGAGCGUUAUCCGGAUUUAUUGGGUUUAAAGGGUGCGCAGGCGGCCAUUUAAGUCAGCGGUUAAAUCGUGGGGCUCAACCCCAUUCUGCCGUUGAUACUGGGUGGCUUGAUUGCGGUCGAGGUUGGCGGAAUUCGUUGUGUAGCGGUGAAAUGCAUAGAUAUGACGAUGAACACCGAUUGCGUAGGCAGCUGACCAGACCGCAAAUGACGCUCAGUCACGAAAGUGCGGGGAUCGAACAGGAUUAGAUAACCUGGUAGUCCUCACAGUAAACGAUGAAUACUUGUAUUCGGCGAUAUAAUGACGGAGGCAAAGCGAAAGCGAUAAGUAUUCCAGCUGGGGAGUACGCCGUCAACGGUGAAACUCAAAUGAAUUGACGGGG
rnacentral:rRNA from 1 species